AGAGGAAGAAAGUAUCGAUGAGGAUUUUCACGAUAUUAAAACAUUGAAAAUUGGUGGUCAUUCAGUAUGCUUACUUGGAGUAUUUGAUGGUCAUGGUGGUUUUCGUGGUGCAGAGUAUUUGAAAGAGCAUCUCUUUGAUAAUCUCAUGAAGCAUCCAAAAUUUUUACUGAUGCCAAAUUGGCUAUAAGUGAAACGUACCAAGAGAUUAUAGGACUAUAAUAUCGAAGGCUGCUCUCUGUGAGGAUCAUGGGCCAAAUAGAAGGGAUGAACGAAAGAGGAAUUAAUGCGUUUAAACUAAAUUGAGGUAGGGGCGUUUUCAUUAAACUCAUUUUUAUUCUUAAGAGUUGUUAUAAAUUGAUAUUUAAGCAAAUAAAUAUUUUUAGUGAUUAUGGAGUCUUAUGAAUUGAAUUGAAUUGCCUUGAAUGAAUGUGAUUGCUUACUUGAUUGUGGCUAUUUCUGAAUAUUGAGUUGGUAUUGAGAUAGUGAGUGGAAGAUUAAUUUGAAAAUCUGAUUUGAAUGUUUAUCAAGUAUAAUUUGAGAAUUGGAAAAUGAUUUGAUGUUAGAGUUAAUUUGGGUUUGGAAAACGGCUUGAGAUUUGUGAAUGACUCGGAUUUGAAACCAUUGAAAAGGGUCUGAGUAAAUGUUGGUUGGCUUUGUUGGAAAUGAAUUGAAAUCUGGAAAGGAUUAUAACAUUAGAAAUAAGUU